UCCCAGACUCCUACGGGAGGCAGCAGUGGGGGAUAUUGCACAAUGGGGGGAACCCUGAUGCAGCGACGCCGCGUGGGUGAAGGAGCGUUUCGGCGCGUAAAGCCCUCUCGGCAGGGAAGAAGGAGGACGGUACCUGACUAAGAAGCCCCGGCUAACUACGUGCCAGCAGCCGCGGUAAUACGUAGGGGGCAAGCGUUAUCCGGAUUUACUGGGUGUAAAGGGGGCGCAGACGGCAGCGCAAGCCAGGAGUGAAAGCCCGGGGCCCAACCCCGGGACUGCUCUUGGAACUGCGCGGCUGGAGUGCAGGAGGGGCAGGCGGAAUUCCUGGUGUAGCGGUGAAAUGCGUAGAUAUCAGGAGGAACACCGGUGGCGAAGGCGGCCUGCUGGACUGCGACUGACGUUGAGGCCCGAAAGCGUGGGGAGCGAACAGGAUUAGAUACCCGAGUAAC
rnacentral:rRNA from 1 species